AGUUAUCCAGUUCCUAAACAAACUCUUCUUUUUUUUUCGCAAGAACAUCGUUCGGCCGGAGCAGCUGGUUCCACGGUGCUCUUUAAAAGCAACAGCGAAAAUGUCUGUCGGGAAUGCGUUCCGCGCUCCAGACUUUGUGCUGCCCGAAUCUACGAAGAUUAAAUUACGCGUCUCCGGUAUUUGGAAUAUUUGCCUCGUUAUCUACUGGCUCGCUCGCCGGCAGUUCCUAAGAUUUACGAAUCCACUCGCGACUUAAUGCGACACAAGCUUUGAAUCACCUUGUUAAUACCGUGUCACUACUGCAUUUCCAGCCGAAUUUCUCGGAAGGUCCGGAGAUUCUGAUAGCAGCGUCUGCGUUUAAUCUUCUAAUCGCGAAAAAAUAUUACACGGAAAGUUUUAUACCUUUGGAGGAGUUCGAAUGUUGACGAUAUCGGUGUUGGCUUGCCGAGGAUCAAUUUGCCCAACAUUUUAACAUCUUGGGAUUAGAAAUGCAAUCACGAUCAAACUCUGUGAAACGUUAUCUCUCGAACAACAGCUGACAAACGUGUGUUAACUACUUUCACUACUUUCCUUCUCCCUAUUUUUAUACAAUCCUUCUGUUUUAUUUGAACCAGUUAACAGCGGCAUUUAGUCUUCUCAUGAGGUUCAGAGUAUACUCGUCAAACGCAGUUGACUGGUUAAUCUAAUCAUAAAAAUGAACGAACAAAAUAAUCUUGAAACUAGUAUUUUAUUUAACGACUAUGAUAACUAACGACUAUGAUAUACUCGCUAACUGUCCAAAAGUUAGUUCAAAGUUUCGCAAUGGAACGUCAUGUGAUUAAGUGUCGGAUCGUUAGAAUCGUCGCUUUUUCAUCCAAAAGCUCGAUGCAAUAAGAUUCAAAAAUCCGUAGAACGAUCAUUAGUAGUAACAAUUAUUUCAGAUUAUUAUUUUAUUUUCGAUGAUUUGGCCAGAAAAGACAGCGAGUGUUUGAAAUAACAGGCUGAUGUAAUUGAUCUUACGUAAAAUAGGCGAAGUAAACUUCAGUGUCUAUA